rnacentral:misc_RNA from 1 species
GAAGGAGAAGGUGAAAGCUGAAAACUUUGACUUUCAUGGUGGUUUUUAGUUAUUUGUAAAUAUGAAUAUAUGAUAAAGCUGAAGAUUAAACAAGAAAAGCCCUUUUUUGUUGAAUUUGGAAAUAAGGGCAAUUUGAAGAAAAUGAAUUAAGCGAGAAGCAGCAGAAGAAUGGCAUUUGGAGAGUUAUAGAGGCACAGGGAAAGCUCCCAGUCCUCUGCUAGUUUCAUGUUUUUUCUCUUUUUUUUUCCCCCUUUUUUUUUUAAUUU